AACUGACCUAUCGGCGGACGGGUGAGUAAUGCUUAGGAAUCUGCCUAUUAGUGGGGGACAACAUUCCGAAAGGAAUGCUAAUACCGCAUACGCCCUACGGGGGAAAGCAGGGGAUCUUCGGACCUUGCGCUAAUAGAUGAGCCUAAGUCGGAUUAGCUAGUUGGUGGGGUAAAGGCCUACCAAGGCGACGAUCUGUAGCGGGUCUGAGAGGAUGAUCCGCCACACUGGGACUGACACACGGCCCAUACUCCUACGGGAGGCAGCAGUGGGGAAUAUUGGACAAUGGGCGCAAGCCUGAUCCAGCCAUGCCGCGUGUGUGAAGAAGGCCUUUUGGUUGUAAAGCACUUUAAGCGAGGAGGAGGCUCCUUUAGUUAAUACCUAAAGAGAGUGGACGUUACUCCCAGAAUAAGCACCGGCUAACUCUGUGCCAGCAGCCGCGGUAAUACAGAGGGUGCGAGCGUUAAUCGGAUUUACUGGGCGUAAAGCGUGCGUAGGCGGCUUUUUAAGUCGGAUGUGAAAUCCCUGAGCUUAACUUAGGAAUUCCAUUCGAUACUGGAAAGCUAGAGUAUGGGAGAGGAUGGUAGAAUUCCAGGUGUAGCGGUGAAAUGCGUAGAGAUCUGGAGGAAUACCGAUGGCGAAGGCAGCCAUCUGGCCUAAUACUGACGCUGAGGUACGAAAGCAUGGGGAGCAACCAGGAUUAGAUACCCUGGUAGUCCAUCCCGUAAACGAUGUUUACUAGCCGUUGGGGCCUUUGAGCCUUUAGUGGCGCAGCUAACGCGAUAAG
rnacentral:rRNA from 1 species